AGAAAACCCACUGCUCGAAGUAAGAAUUUUCCCUUUUCGUCUUCCGCUUAGUCAACUUGAAGUCAAUCAACUGCUUUUUCUGCCGCCGGUUCUUCCUCCACCGCCGAUCAACUCUGCACCGUCGCUGCCGCCAUCAUGAGUGGCGGCGGAUAUGAGAAUGGCGCCACCAGUUCACCAAGUGCUGAACCUUCACUUAUCACAAACCAGCUUUCCGUACUGUCAAUCAAUGACGACGAACAUUCCUCUGUUUCAGUUGAGAAAGAUCCUAGAAAAAUCGCUAGAAAGUAUCAGAUG
rnacentral:misc_RNA from 1 species